rnacentral:rRNA from 1 species
ACUCCUACGGGAGGCAGCAGUAAGGAAUAUUGCGCAAUGGACGAAAGUCUGACGCAGCGACGCCGCGUGGGGGAUGAAGGUCUUCGGAUUGUAAACCCCUUUCGGCAGGGAAGAUGGAACGGGUAACCGUUCGGACGGUACCUGCAGAAGCAGCCACGGCUAACUUCGUGCCAGCAGCCGCGGUAAUGCGAAGGUGGCAAGCGUUGUUCGGAUUCACUGGGCGUACAGGGAGCGUAGGCGGUUGGGUAAGCCCUCCGUGAAAUCUCCGGGCCUAACCCGGAAAGUGCAGAGGGGACUGCUCGGCUAGAGGAUGGGAGAGGAGCGCGGAAUUCCCG